GCGGCUUCCUUACACAUGAAAGUCGAGCGGGGAGACUUUGCGGCACGGGCUGCUGAGGCGAAUGCCCGAGAGAAGCUGCUCAGGACGCGGAGCGGGAGCGAGAGGUUUCCACUUUUUAUUAAGAAGAGAUCGUCUUGAAGAAGCGAAGGGUUUGAGCGGGGACAUAAGCGCAGGGGUUGCGGGACCAAGGCGAGAGCCAAGGGAACGGAGCCGAGCCACAGGAGCGCGUGCUGUGAGGACUUCCAGCGGCGGACGGGUGAGUAACGCGUGAACAAUCUGUCCCAGACAGGGGGAUAACAGAUGGAAACAUCUGCUAAUACCGCAUAAGACCACAACCUCGCAUGGGGUUGGGGUAAAAGGAGCAAUCCGGUUUGGGGUGAGUUCGCGUCUGAUUAGCUAGUUGGUGAGGUAACGGCCCACCAAGGCGACGAUCAGUAGCCGACCUGAGAGGGUGAUCGGCCACACUGGAACUGAGAAACGGUCCAGACUCCUACGGGAGGCAGCAGUGGG
rnacentral:sRNA from 1 species